GACGAACGCUGGCGGCGUGCUUAACACAUGCAAGUCGAGCGGUAAGGCUCCUUCGAGGGUACACGAGCGGCGAACGGGUGAGUAACACGUGAGUAAUCUGCCCCUCACUUUGGGAUAAGCCUCGGAAACGAGGUCUAAUACCGAAUACGACCGCUUCAGGCAUCCGAGGGUGGUGGAAAGUUUUUCGGUGGGGGAUGUGCUCGCGGCCUAUCAGCUUGUUGGUGGGGUAAUGGCCUACCAAGGCUUCGACGGGUAGCCGGCCUGAGAGGGUGGCCGGCCACACUGGGACUGAGACACGGCCCAGACUCCUACGGGAGGCAGCAGUGGGGAAUAUUGGACAAUGGGCGGAAGCCUGAUCCAGCAACGCCGCGUGAGGGAUGACGGCCUUCGGGUUGUAAACCUCUUUCAGUAGGAACGAAGCGCAAGUGACGGUACCUACAGAAGAAGCACCGGCCAACUACGUGCCAGCCGCCGCCGUAAUAC
rnacentral:rRNA from 1 species